rnacentral:rRNA from 1 species
AAAUGAAUAGACGGGGGCCCGCACAAGCAGUGGAGUAUGUGGUUUAAUUCGACGCAACGCGAAGAACCUUACCAAAACUUGACAUUAAGAGGAAUAACAUGGAAGCAUGUUAGUCUUCGGACCUCUUAACAGGUGAUGCAUGGUUGUCGUCAGCUCGUGUCGUGAGAUGUUGGGUUAAGUCCCGCAACGAGCGCAACCCUCGUGACUAGUUGCUAACAGUAAGAUGAGAACUCUAGUCAGACUGCCGUAGAUAAUACGGAGGAAGGUGAGGAUGACGUCAAAUCAUCACGUCCCUUAUGUUUUGGGCUACACACGUACUACAAUGGGUAUAACAGAAAGAAGCGAGACCGCGAGGUGGAGCGAAACUAAAAAAAGUACCCCAAGUUCGGAUUGGAGGCUGCAACUCGCCUCCAUGAAGCUGGAAUUGCUAGUAAUCACAGGUCAGCAUACUGUGGUGAAUACGUUCCCGGGCCUUGUACACACCGCCCGU